rnacentral:tRNA from 1 species
GGGCGAGUAGCUCAGUUGGUAGAGCAGAGGGCUGAAAAUCCUCGUGUCGUUGGUUCGACUCCAACCUUGCCCA